GGCUAACAAAAUAACAAUGCACAUGAUGUAUAAAUAAUAAACCUAACAGAAAGAUGACACAAACAAGAGGAGAAGGGCUGCUGCUCUGCUUGGUCUGCCACACUACAUGUCAGGAGAAGAUCCAUCAGAUGUCAUCAGAAUGUGUGAUGCUCAUGUUGAGAAUCUGGAUGAAGCCAUGAAAGGAAUGCAGCUUGGUCUUCUGAUAGGCUGUGAAGGUGGGACUUUGAUGUUGCAGCUGUGGUGGAGGAGACCAUUGUGCUUCACAAUGUUAAGGAUGUGGCACAUAGCUUUGCCAUGCUUAUGGGUGUCAUCUACUGUGUCAAUCUCAAGUAUCCAGAAGCCAUGAAAUACUCCUUUGAGUUUAUUCAGAGAGUGGUGAUGAAGAUAAAACCAGACCAGGCCUCGGCUCGAGUGCACUGCUUCAGAAAUAGAAUUCUGAGGUAUAAACUGUAAAAUCUGCCAAGUUUUAAAAAAGACCUGCAAGAAUGUUGUUCACUGUUCUUUUUUCAUGCACAAUAACUUUCAGUAUUGUGCUGAACUAUUGUUCUGUGAUGAAACGUGACACCCAGGAUUUUCAGUUUAAGAUUGGAGUAAACAUGUUCUUGCACUUAUUUGUAUUUGAAUGAUUUUUGAAAAAUUAUGGUCUUUACUGGUCAAAGACUAGUAAUGUUUAAAUGCAGGGAAAUUAAAGGUGGGACAGAAGGUUUGAAAAAUUACACAAUAACUAGCAUCAGAAAAUGUUCUUUUCAGUAGA